ensembl:lncRNA
AUUUUUCUUUGUUUUCUCUCUCCCAUUGGUACAAUUCUGUAACGUGUUCACUACUUUAACCUACAGUGUGUAAUUCCUUCAGGAGUUCUGCCAGCGUGCAGCCUGCAAGGGAAGCCUCUUGGGGUCACUUGGAGCUACCUAUAGCUACCAGCAUCCACCCCUCAACACAGCCUUUUUCACAUUUUGCAGGUACAUUAAGCCCAGUGUUGGUAUGAGUUUUUCAUUACCUAAAGUCAGUUUGGUUAUGUUGAUGUACCAUUGGUCCUUGCCUGAAAUGCUGAGAGCUCCUGCAAAAGGCCUUUCUGGUGCACAGGUGAGCUUUAGCUACGGCAAAAUGUUUUGCCUAAGGAGGGUGUUUGUUGACCACAGCUUUCAUCUCAGAGCUUUAAGAAAUACUGGCCUGUGCUGCUAGGUGCCCUGAAGGCUUGAGUUGUGGUGAACCUGACUCAGUACCGUAUGGCAAACAAGGAAAAAGGGUGGUGGACCAAAGUCUGGCUUCAUGUAACACGAUUUAACUGUUGUAGGUUUCAUGUUGACUAAGUAGGAGGUUGAACAUGAAGGCAGAUCCCACAUUACCGACUUGACUGAAUAUGGUGAGCAAGAUUUAGCCUCAUUUUUGCCUUGUGUAACUCCUCUAAGUCAAGAGUUGCAUCAGAAGUUAGUGAGUUUUCUAUUCUCUUUUUCUAUGAGCGUUCUUAAAGGUACACACUUGGUGACUUAAGAAAUUGAGACAGCCUUUGGUUUUUAAUUCAGUCAUCAAGACAUUUAAUUCAGUCGUUCUUAGCUUUUUCAUGUGAGGAUGAAGAGAACAGCGCCUGCCCAGAGAGGGCCCAGCUAAUACUUGGCUACUGAAACCUGCUGUGAUUUACAGUCUUAUUCCAUCUCCAGUAUUAGAUGUUUCAUACUUUUCAAGAGAGAAAAAUAAAAAAAAAUAAUAAAAAAAAGAUUUUUCAGGCUUGCCGACUUCAUCAGCACAGUGUUACUGGGUCGUAUGUGUGUUGAGUAAUUUCCUUUCAUUCAGCAAAAGCUAGCUACAUUCAAAAAUACAGGACACAGCAAAUGCAGGAAGAAGAAAUUGUCCAGUUUUAGUUUGCAGGUUAUCAGGAAGCAAAAACAAACUAAGAUGUGUUCACUGCAUUAUAGCUGCUAAUCUAGGAUGGAACUUCAUAUAGUUUCUAAGUGGGCAGUGCUAGAAAUACGGAAGUUCUUUAUCAUAAAGAUAUGCUCUGAGUCCAGCUCGUGAAAAUACAUUUGAAGAGCCAAGCAUGUGAAUGAGUGUUCACUGGAGUACAAUCUAUUACAUUGCAUGGGAUGCCCCAUCCCUGGAGGCAUUCAAAGCCAGGCUGGAUGUGGCUCUGGGCAGCCUGGUCUGGUGGUUGGCGACCCUGCACAUAGCAGGGGGGUUAAACUCGAUGAUCACUGUGGUCUUUUUCAACCUAGGCCAUUCUAUGAUUCUAUGAUGAUUCUCUGAUUACGCUGGUGAGUUACAACAUGAGCAUUUUAUCACAGCAGACACAUUUAACCCAUAACUGUUUUUAAAAUUAGCAUUUAUUUUCUCUUUUGCUCCCCUUGAUGUUUUCAAAGCAGGGCUCACAGUUUCCUAGACCACUGGCUGAAGCUCUUCCCACGCAAAUUCUGUGGCAUUUUGAGACAGACAUACAUUUUUAGUCCACCAUACUCAUGAGAAAAGCUCAAUCUGAUGGACGUGUUCAAAAUAUACUGUUUGCAUGCAGCUGAGCACAUGCACAGCAGCUUCCCUCAUGAGGAACACUGGAGAAGGUACUGGGCUAUACUGCUAUUAUGGCAAAAUCAUUCACAGUGUGUGAGCUCAGGCCUUCCCAGUGCCUAGCUCUCCUAUCUGAGAAUUCCCCAAGGUGUCAAGCCAAGGGGAUGGUGUCUCUGAGUGUUGUUUUGGAACUGGGUCACUGAAAAAGCAAUGCAAGGCGCACUGAGGAAGUGACUACUUGCUUUGACUACUGCAUUUAUUUUCAGGCCCCUCACUACAAGAAUGACAUCAAGGGCACUGGAACAUGUUCAGAGAAGGGCAAUGAAGCUGAGAGGUCUGGAGCACAAGUAUUACAGAGAGUGGCUGAGGGAACUGGGAUCACUCAGGGGAGACCUUAUUGCUCUCUACAACUCCCUGAGAGGAAGCUGUGGCGGGGUGGGGGUCAGCCUCUUCUCCUGCAUAAGUAGUGAUAGGAUGAGAGGGAAUGGCCUCAAGUUGUGCCAGAGGAGGUUCAGGUUGGAUAUUAGAAGAAAUUUCUUCUUAGAAAGAGCAGUGCUGCAGUGGCACAGGCUGCCCAGGGAGGUGGUGCAGUCACUGCCCCUGGAGGUGUUCAAGAACCGUGUGGGUGUGGCACUGAGAGAAAUGAUUUUGUGGGUGAUACUGGUGGUGGGUGGGUGGUCGAACAAGAUGAUCUUAGAGGUCUUUUCCAAUCUGAACCAUUCUAUGAUUCCCUUGCAAAACUGCUGACAUGCAGUGAAGAGUUGGGCCUGCACUCUGCUGGGUGCCUAACUGCACCAUGGCAAGCUCUGCAUCAUUCCAUGGCAGUUUUUACCCUGUUUAAUACCAAGGCUGCAAGGAGCGCUUCUUUCUCUAUGCAUAAAUAAAGACAGCAGGCAGUGAAUAUCCAUGCUGGAACAGCUGACGCGCCCAAGUGCUUGGCUACGGAUCUCUUUGUUUCUUAGUCACGUCUGUGGAAACACCUCGUAGCGCUAGUGACUUAAGCCCUCACACAGCGCCCUCACUGACCCAAACCCCCUGGCGCCAUCCCCGUGGGCAGCAGCACCGCGCAGGGCCACCUGCACGACCCGUCACCACCCCGUCGGUGCCGGAGCCCCUCCCC